GUGGCCAUGAAUUGAUAUAACAUGAUCUGUCAGUAAACUUCAGUUGCUUCUCCUAGGAUUUCAUGCUCUUGGGUUUUACCUCAUUGUCAGGUUGGGAAGUUUAACUUCUCAUCUUUUUAAUUGGUGUGGUCUGAUGCUGCAAUUCCUCAUUCUUCAUCAGUAAGGAUUCAUACACAAUCAAUGACAUAUGAUAUAUUAUUGGAGCCAUACAUUUAUCACCUCCAGGUUAGCCAUUGAAUCUGCUAAGGAAAAGAAGAGGACUGUAAAUUUAUUAAAAAAAUAAGAGAAAGUCACUAGCCAAGAUUCCAAAAUGAAAAUAUUCAUUCAAGAAGAAUUGCUGAAAUAAUAGAAGGAUCAACAUAGUUAGGUUUAUUUUUAAUUGUAAGCAAAUGAUGGUAAUGCAUUUUUAUAUGAAACCUCUGCGUGUGCGUGUGUAUGCAUUCUUAUUGCCUUGUGUAUGACAUUAUGACAAUUGAAUAAUGCCUCCUAUUUGUACUCACAAAUUCAUCACAGGAGGGCAAUCUUGUUUGUCUAUUUUUAUGGUCCUUGUACCUCUGAACAUGAUAAAUUCUCUAUACUUCUGAGUUGAAUUAUUAGCUAAUUUGUAUUAAAUUUUGUGUUUCCAUUUUAACACAGACAAACCUGGAAGAGAAUAACACCUUUUUAUUUGACUUUGUCUAACAUAUUAAUUCACUAUUUUGCACUGUUAUUAUUGAAGGAAUUAAAGUGCUCACUUCACUUUCACUGCAUAUGUAUAAAUUAAGACUUGAGUUAACUUCAGUGUGGGGGCAAAGCUGGGCAAUUACCACGUGGGACUCACAAAGACUUUUUAUGAGAUAGCAGUAUUAUGGGUGAGUUUUUUUUUUCUUUUGCAAUUUUACGGCAUUCUUCUCAUGAUAGUUCUUAAUAUGUGAGUUGUAAAAGAUGCUGGAAUUGUAGAGUCAUCCUUCAUUUUAGGAGAAUCAACAAAUAAAAGUUCAGUGAUCUGUUUUAUUCACAGUGUUGGACAAUGAAAACUAUUUGGAAUUUCAGCACUGAUAUUUAUGAAGAGGCAUCUACACCGGUCACUGUGGGAGUGAUGUGGUACUAGUGAUAUAUAUUCAAGUUGCUUUUGUUUGGAAAUAAAUUAAUUUUUACAUAC